UCUUUUCCUUUUUUGCCCGCCGCCGCGGUAAUACGUAUGGAGCAAGCGUUAUCCGGAUUUACUGGGUGUAAAGGGAGUGUAGGUGGCCAGGCAAGUCAGAAGUGAAAGCCCGGGGCUCAACCCCGGGACUGCUUUUGAAACUGCAGGGCUAGAGUGCAGGAGGGGCAAGUGGAAUUCCUAGUGUAGCGGUGAAAUGCGUAGAUAUUAGGAGGAACACCAGUGGCGAAGGCGGCUUGCUGGACUGUAACUGACACUGAGGCUCGAAAGCGUGGGGAGCAAACAGG
rnacentral:rRNA from 1 species